rnacentral:rRNA from 1 species
UACGAAGGGUGCAAGCGUUGCUCGGAAUUAUUGGGCGUAAAGGGUAGGUAGGUGGUCUCAUUUGUCAGGGGUGAAAGCCUUGGGCUUAACCCAAGAAGUGCCCCUGAAACGGUGAGACUAGAGUCUUGGAGAGGGUCGUGGAAUUCCCAGUGUAGCGGUGAAAUGCGUAGAGAUUGGGAGGAACACCAGAGGCGAAGGCGGCGACCUGGACAAGCACUGACACUCAACUACGAAAGCGUGGGUAGCAAACAGG